AACGAACGCUGGCGGCAGGCUUAACACAUGCAAGUCGAGCGCAUCCUUCGGGGUGAGCGGCGGACGGGUGUGUAACGCGUGGGAACGUGCCCUCUUCUACGGCAUACCUUCGGGAAACUGAGAGUAAUGCCGUAUACGCCCGCAAGGGGAAAGAUUUAUCGGAGGAGGAUCGGCCCGCGUUGGAUUAGGUAGUGGGUGGGGUAACGGCCUACCAAGCCGACGAUCCAUAGCUGGUUUGAGAGGAUGAUCAGCCACACUGGGACUGAGACACGGCCCAGACUCCUACGGGAGGCAGCAGUAGGGAAUCUUGGAAAAUGGGGGCAACCCUGAUCCAGCCAUGCCGGGUGAUCGAUGAAGGCCUUAGGGUUGUAAAGAUCUUUCAGCUGGGAAGAUAAUGACGGUACCAGCAGAAGAAGCCCCGGCUAACUCCGUG
rnacentral:rRNA from 1 species